rnacentral:rRNA from 1 species
UACGUAGGCAGCGAGCGUUGUUCGGAGUUACUGGGCGUAAAGCGUGCGUAGGCGGUGGUCCAAGUCUGGUGUGAAAUCUCCCGGCUCAACUGGGAGGGUGCGCCGGAAACUGGGCCGCUGGAGUAUGGGAGAGGCAAGCGGAAUUCCAGGUGUAGCGGUGAAAUGCGCAGAUAUCAGGAGGAACACCGAUGGCGAAGGCAGGUCUCUGGGCCACUACUGACGCUGAGAAGCGAAAGCAUGGGGAGCGAACAGG